rnacentral:tRNA from 1 species
UCCCUGGUGGCCCAGUGGCUAAGAUCUGCAUUCCCAAUGCAGGGGAUCUGGGUUCAAUCCCUGGUCAGGGAA